rnacentral:rRNA from 1 species
CCGUUAGGAGGGAAACGAAUGCGGCUAAAUUAGCUCUGUUUCAGGCUCAGGAGAUGUUGGCGGCUGUGCCGGUGUCGUUGCAGCUUCGGCGCUACGAUUCGGAUAUGUUGCCAUCUCCUCUGCAUUCCUGUGGAGAGCUGGCCAACGACGGUCGCUCCUGGCUCAGAAGGGCAGUUGGGCAGGUGGCUCUUUGCUCGCAGAGAGAACUUACAGCCAGCCGUCUGGCAGUCUGGGAACGACCGAGGAGAGUUGUGAAUCUUCACACGUGCAGUGCAAGCCCUCCGGGGCCGCGUCGCUUCUGUUCGUUUGGGCAUCGGGCUGUGGACUGCUUGCAGUGUUCAGUGACGACUGUCUGCUCGUGCGGGAGAUCGGCGACGUCUUGCGCUGUAGUUGUUGGUGCUCAAAUGGCUGCAUCCGACCCGUCUUGAAACACGGACCAAGGAGUGCAACAUGCGUGCGAGUCUUUGGGUGGCAAACCCGUCGGCGCAAUGAAAGUGAAGGCAAACGUUGGUUUGCUUAGGUGAGAGCCCCUGUUUGGGGGCACAUCAUCGACCGAUCCCAGGCUACGCUGUAGCGGGAUUUGAGUAAGAGCGUGCCUGUUGCGACCCGAAAGAUGGUGAACUAUGCCUGAA